UUUUUCAGCCUCGUCAGCACCUGUCACAUGCACACUCAGCUUUGCGGAAAUUACGGGCAAUUUGUCGAAGAUUUCUGGUGAAGUAGAAAGCACGUGAAUCUUACUAUUCAAUCACCGCUCUCCAUAUGCACCAUCAACUCCUCGGGUACCACAUAUAACUUUGUCAAAGAUCUCUGACAAAGUUUAGGCACGAGCAUUUCGAAGUUCCAGCUACCCUACUAUUACCCAUAAGGGUAAAGGAACAGCACCACUGCUUGACAACUGGAAAGUCCCUAUGUGUGUCGACCUCCGUGUUUUGCGGCAAGACAAGUUGGCAAGAACGUCCAACCUUUACUCACAUUCGAGAAAAGACUCCCAACAUAAUUACUUUCUCAA
rnacentral:lncRNA from 1 species